rnacentral:rRNA from 1 species
AAUAGAUACCCUGGUAGUCCACGCCGUAAACGAUGAGUGCUAAGUGUUGGGGGGUUUCCGCCCCUCCAGUGCUGCAGCUAACGCAUUAAGCACUCCGCCUGGGGAGUACGGUCGCAAGACUGAAACUCAAAGGAAUUGACGGGGGCCCGCACAAGCGGUGGAGCAUGUGGUUUAAUUCGAAGCAACGCGAAGAACCUUACCAGGUCUUGACAUCCCGGUGACCACUAUGGAGACAUAGUUUCCCCUUCGGGGGCAACGGUGACAGGUGGUGCAUGGUUGUCGUCAGCUCGUGUCGUGAGAUGUUGGGUUAAGUCCCGCAACGAGCGCAACCCUUAUUCUUAGUUGCCAUCAUUCAGUUGGGCACUCUAAGGAGACUGCCGGUGAUAAACCGGAGGAAGGUGGGGAUGACGUCAAAUCAUCAUGCCCCUUAUGACCUGGGCUACACACGUGCUACAAUGGACGGUACAAACGGUUGCCAACCCGCGAGGGGGANCUAAUCCGAUAAAACCGUUCUCAGUUCGGAUUGUAGGCUGCAACUCGCCUAC